CCAAUAGCGUAUAUUAAAGUUGUUGCAGUUAAAAAGCUCGUAGUUGAAUUUCGGAAUCAAUAUAUCGGUCGUGCCUCUGGUACGCACUUAUUUAUUGAUUUCUCACUUCUGACGAAUCAUAAUGUCAUUAGUUUGGUGUUAUGAGGAAUCAGGACUGUUACUUUGAAAAAAUUAGAGUGUUUAAAGCAGGCUCGCGCUUGAAUACAUUAGCAUGGAAUAAUGAAAUAGGAUGUUUGAUCUUAUUUUGUUGGUUUCUAGGAUCGACAUAAUGAUUAAUAGGGAUAGUUGGGGGCAUUAGUAUUCAAUUGUCAGAGGUGAAAUUCUUGGAUUUAUUGAAGACUAACUACUGCGAAAGCAUUUGCCAAGGAUGUUUUCAUUAAUCAAGAACGAAAGUUAGGGGAUCUAAGACGAUCAGAUACCGUCGUAGUCUUAACCAUAAACUAUGCCGACUAGGGAUCGGAUGAUGUUAUUUUUUAAUGACUCAUUCGGCACCUUACG
rnacentral:misc_RNA from 1 species